AUUCAACAAGAGUGAGACCUACUAACUGCCUUCACCAUAGACACUGGCCGCCUACUUUCCACAGGAAGGUGUGGAGAUGACUAGGCUACAGGAGGAGCAUUGGCUGGGGAGGCCAGGAAGGUUGUGACCACUCCUUCUGGAACAUGGCCACCACCUAGCACAAGACUGAUUCCCUGACCUUUAACUGGAGACCAAUGUGUGCCCUUUUUUCUCCAUGAUCCCUGAACCUUCCCCUUUGAUCUAGAAGACCCUGCUCUGUGGCUUCUGCCUCCACCCCUCCAUUGAAUCCAAGAGAAGACCUGACUAGACUCAUACCUGAGGAUCAAAGAAAACUGGCUGCGCAUGCACAGCAGGCUCCAGGGCCAAGCUGCUUGGUUCACCUCCCCACAGGAAUGUUGGUCCCUGGGACGUGCAGCCCGCACCCUCCCCAUGGCCUGGACACCCUCCUCCUCCAUGUCAUUGACUUUGGCCCUGUGCCAGUGGGCUUGGACUCUUUGGUUUCAAAAGGGACCAAAGAAUGCCUCCUGCCCCUCCCAGGCAGCAGCACAUCGGAGAUCGGGGGAA